GUCUAGAAGCUUCGGCAAUGGGGGCAACCCUGACCGAGCGACGCCGCGUGUGGGAUGAAGCAUUUCGGUGUGUAAACCACUGUCAGAAGGGAAGAAGGCCUGGAAUGGGAUAACCUUUCCGGGAGAGACGGUACCUUCAGAGGAAGCCCCGGCUAACUCCGUGCCAGCAGCCGCGGUAAUACGGAGGGGGCGAGCGUUGUUCGGAUUUACUGGGCGUAAAGCGCACGUAGGCGGCAGAGCAAGUCAAAGGUGAAAGCCCUCAGCUCAACUGAGGAAUUGCCUUUGAAACUGCUCUGCUUGAGUCCGGGAGGGGGGAGCGGAAUUCCCAGUGUAGCGGUGAAAUGCGUAGAUACUGGGAGGAACACCGGUGGCGAAGGCGGCUCCCUGGACCGGCACUGACGCUGAGGUGCGAAAGCGUGGGUAGCAAACAGGAUUAGAUACCCGGGUAGUCC
rnacentral:rRNA from 1 species